UAUUAUAACAGCAUAAGUGUGGAUCAUUUGAUCCAUAAUCUGGUUUUCUAUAAAUAUAAUUCAAUGUGUUUAUAACUUUAACUAAUAUAAAGAAUUUAGGAAUAAAAUAUUGAUUUUAAUUGUUUUGUAUAUGCAUUUUAUUGGGGGUUUGUUUUAAAGAAUAAUUAUUAAAUAAAUUGUAUUAUAACCCGGCCAUAUACUGACAGAUUAAAAUAAUCAGGAUAAUGCAGGUAUUUUAAAAACCCUAAAAUAAUUUAUAAGAAAUGAACUGCUGAGUAUCAGGGAAGAAUUUAAACAAAAUACCCCUAUUGGGUCAGAGGUAAACUUCCCACAUAAACAGUCACCUUAAAUUCAGGGAACUGCUAUACUUCAGAGGGGGAGGGCAGCUCUAAUAGUGAGUCAGAGGGCAGAGCCAGCUACCCAGAUAGCCCAUAUAAUACCCUUUUCGACCCCUGUAGUUCUUAUAGUAAAUUUCCUUUCAGAACGUUUUUUGUAAGGGAAGGCUUAUCGUUCUAUUAAUGUUGUAAGAUCGGCCAUUUCAGCGGGUCAUUUCCCCAUUGACGGAGUUCCAGUGGAACGACACCCCCUUGUAUGCCGAAUUUUGAAAGCUAUUCAGCUGAAGGUUCCUCCUUCCUCUCGCUAUUCUCCUCUCUGGGAUAUUUCCAUCAUGCUCUGUUUCCUGAGGAGUUGGCCUCCUAAUGAAGAGCUAUCCCUUUGGCAGUUGUUGGGCCAAGUUGGCAAUGCUUCUCUGUCUUGUUUCCUUCUGUAGGAUUUCUGAUAUUUGGGCGUUGGAUGUCGAAGGUCUCUCCUUCUCUCCAGAGGGCGUCACUUUUCCAGUUUCCAGAUGCACUAAAUUGAAAUUCCGUGGAUUUUGCUCCUUCGUUCAUUCUGUAGACUGGUUCCUGUUGGCUCUUUUCCCCGAUAUCCUUUCUUUCAUCGUCCGCUGGAUGCACAUUUGUAUCGUUUUUCUUUAAUUUCGCUUUUUUCCAUCAAAGAAAAGAGGAAGUGCUAAUGUUGUGCUGUACAGUUUAUUAUGCUGCUGUAUUCUGAUUGGUUAUGCAUUGAUACUAUGUUAGUUUUCUUACUGUUCAGUUUUCCUUUGCUGCUGUUUGGGAAUAAGUAAAGAUUUGAUGCAAAA